rnacentral:rRNA from 1 species
GGCGAACGCUGGCGGCGUGCUUAACACAUGCAAGUGGAGCGACGAACCAGGGCUUGCCCUGGGGCAGAGCCGCGAACGGGUGAGUAACACGCGGGUAACGUGCCCCGAUGACUGGGACAACCCGGGGAAACCCGGGCUAAUACCGGAUGUGCCCCCUCACAUCAGUGAGGUGUGUAAAGGAAGCUUCGGCCUCCGCAUCGGGAUCGGCCCGCGGCCCAUUAGCUUGUUGGUGAGGUAACGGCUCACCAAGGCUGCGAUGGAUAGCUGGUCUGAGAGGACGAUCAGCCACACUGGAACUGAGACACGGCCCAGACUCCUACGGGAGGCAGCAGUGGGGAAUCUUGCGCAAUGCGCGAAAGCGUGACGCAGCAACGCCGCGUGGGGGAAGACGGCCUUCGGGUCGUAAACCCCUGUCAGUUGGGACGAAGGUCGGGCGGUUAACAGCCGUUCCGGCUGACGGUACCUUCACAAGAAGCCCCGGCUAACUACGUG